rnacentral:rRNA from 1 species
GGAGGAUCCGAGCGUUAUCCGGAUUUAUUGGGUUUAAAGGGAGCGUAGGUGGACUGGUAAGUCAGUUGUGAAAGUUUGCGGCUCAACCGUAAAAUUGCAGUUGAUACUGUCAGUCUUGAGUACAGUAGAGGUGGGCGGAAUUCGUGGUGUAGCGGUGAAAUGCUUAGAUAUCACGAAGAACUCCGAUUGCGAAGGCAGCGCACUGGACUGCAACUGACACUGAUGCUCGAAAGUGUGGGUAUCAAACAGGAUUAGAUACCCUAGUAGUCCACACAGUAAACGAUGAAUACUCGCUGUUUGCGAUAUACAGUAAGCGGCCAAGCGAAAGCAUUAAGUAUUCCACCUGGGGAGUACGCCGGCAACGGUGAAACUCAAAGGAAUUGACGG